rnacentral:rRNA from 1 species
GCGUGGGGCAGCUAUAAUGCAGUCGAGCGCAGGAGCCGUCUGAACCCUUCGGGGGGACGACGGUGGAAUGAGCGGCGGACGGGUGAGUAACACGUAAAGAACCUGCCCAUAGGUCUGGGAUAACCACGAGAAAUCGGGGCUAAUACCGGAUGUGUCAUCGGACCGCAUGGUCCGCUGAUGAAAGGCGCUUCGGCGUCGCCCAUGGAUGGCUUUGCGGUGCAUUAGCUAGUUGGUGGGGUAACGGCCCACCAAGGCGACGAUGCAUAGCCGACCUGAGAGGGUGAUCGGCCACACUGGGACUGAGACACGGCCCAGACUCCUACGGGAGGCAGCAGUAGGGAAUCUUCCACAAUGGACGAAAGUCUGAUGGAGCAACGCCGCGUGAACGAUGAAGGCUUUCGGGUCGUAAAGUUCUGUUGUAAGGGAAGAACAAGUGCCGCAGGCAAUGGCGGCACCUUGACGGUACCUUGCGAGAAAGCCACGGCUAACUACGUGCCAGCAGCCGCGGUAAUACGUAGGUGGCAAGCGUUGUCCGGAAUUAUUGGGCGUAAAGCGCGCGCAGGCGGCCUCUUAAGUCUGAUGUGAAAGCCCCCGGCUCAACCGGGGAGGGCCAUUGGAAACUGGGAGGCUUGAGUAUAGGAGAGAAGAGUGGAAUUCCACGUGUAGCGGUGAAAUGCGUAGAGAUGUGGAGGAACACCAGUGGCGAAGGCGACUCUUUGGCCUAUAACUGACGCUGAGGCGCGAAAGCGUGGGGAGCAAACAGGUUGUGGG